rnacentral:rRNA from 1 species
GUAGUCCAUGCCGUAAACGUUGGGCACUAGGUGUGGGGGACAUUCCACGUUUUCCGCGCCGUAGCUAACGCAUUAAGUGCCCCGCCUGGGGAGUACGGCCGCAAGGCUAAAACUCAAAGGAAUUGACGGGGGCCCGCACAAGCGGCGGAGCAUGCGGAUUAAUUCGAUGCAACGCGAAGAACCUUACCAAGGCUUGACAUGGACCGGACCGCCGCAGAAAUGUGGUUUCCCCUUUGGGGCCGGUUCACAGGUGGUGCAUGGUUGUCGUCAGCUCGUGUCGUGAGAUGUUGGGUUAAGUCCCGCAACGAGCGCAACCCUCGUUCUAUGUUGCCAGCGCGUUAUGGCGGGGACUCAUAGGAGACUGCCGGGGUCAACUCGGAGGAAGGUGGGGACGACGUCAAAUCAUCAUGCCCCUUAUGUCUUGGGCUUCACGCAUGCUACAAUGGCCGGUACAAAGGGUUGCGAUACUGUGAGGUGGAGCUAAUCCCAAAAAGCCGGUCUCAGUUCGGAUUGGGGUCUGCAACUCGACCCCAUGAAGUCGGAGUCGCUAGUAAUCGCAGAUCAGCAACGCUGCGGUGAAUA